rnacentral:rRNA from 1 species
UGGGGAAUCUUGGACAAUGGGGGCAACCCUGAUCCAGCCAUGCCGCGUGAGCGAUGAAGGCCCUAGGGUUGUAAAGCUCUUUCGCCAGGGAAGAUAAUGACGGUACCUGGUAAAGAAACCCCGGCUAACUCCGUGCCAGCAGCCGCGGUAAUACGGAGGGGGUUAGCGUUGUUCGGAAUUACUGGGCGUAAAGCGCACGUAGGCGGAUCAGUCAGUCAGGGGUGAAAUCCCGGGGCUCAACCCCGGAACUGCCUUUGAUACUGCUGGUCUUGAGGUCGAGAGAGGUGAGUGGAAUUCCGAGUGUAGAGGUGAAAUUCGUAGAUAUUCGGAGGAACACCAGUGGCGAAGGCGGCUCACUGGCUCGAACCUGACGCUGAGGUGCGAAAGCGUGGGGAGCAAACAGGAUUAGAUACCCCGGUAGUCC